UGUGGAAGCAACAAGUUGCCUCACAUCUGCCCCAACUCUUGUACUCCUGAUUGAAUUCUCUGGCUUCGGCUCCUCAACUUGGCUACCUGAUUCGGCUUCAGGUAGAACUUCCUGGCUCAACCCCAGACUGGACUUGGACUUUGCUCCUGACUGCCCCCAGCCCACAACAAAGAGAACCUGGAUUGCAGAUUGUUGACUCUCCUGAGCAAGAAUUCUAGCCAUCAAUAUCACCAUCUCACCCAAUCUGACUUUGUUUUACUACCACAGCAUAUAUGGACUACAUAUAUGGACUAAAACAAGAGACUGUUUCUUCAAAUAUCAGUGAAUUGAUGUUCAUUGUCUUUACUUACCAAGAAAAUUUGGUGGAAGAUGUCUCUUGGAAGUUAAGCAAACAGUUGGAAAAGAAAAAUGAGCACAGAAUGACUACAUCGAGAAAAGUAAUGAGGACCUUCCAGCUGAAAUGUACAGGGCAGGUUUACGUAAGGUUACAGAAACCAAAGAUGAUUACAAAAAGACUGAAAUCAGAACUAACUUUGACAACUGGAAACGAAACUUGCAUGGGCAAUAUUUGAAAGACACAGAUAAUAAAGCUGAUAAUGAAAA